ACUCCUACGGGAGGCAACAGUGGGGAAUAUUGGACAAUGGACCAAAAGUCUGAUCCAGCAAUUCUGUGUGUUUGAUGAAGGCCUUCGGGUUGUAAAGAACUUUCAGUGGGGAAGAAGCAAGUGACGGUACCACAGAAGAAGCGACGGCUAAAUACGUGCCAGCAGCCGCGGUAAUACGUAUGUCGCAAGCGUUAUCCGGAAUUAUUGGGCAUAAAGGGCGUCUAGGCGGUCUAAUAAGUCUGAUGUGAAAAUGCGGGGCUCAACUCCGUAUUGCGUUGGAAACUGUUAGACUAGAGUUUUGGAGAGGUAGGCGGAACUACAAGUGUAGAGGUGAAAUUCGUAGAGAUUUGUAGGAAUGCCGAUGACGAAGGUAGCUUACUGGACAAAUACUGACGCUGAAGCGCG
rnacentral:rRNA from 1 species